rnacentral:tRNA from 1 species
GGGGGUGUAGCUCAGAGGUAGAGCGUUUAACUAGCAUAUAUAGGCCCUGGGUUUAAUCUCAAGCACUGCCA